CCUACGGGGUGCAGCAGUGGGGAAUAUUGGACAAUGGGCGAAAGCCUGAUCCAGCAAUGCCGCGUGUGUGAAGAAGGUCUUCGGAUUGUAAAGCACUUUCGGCGGGGACGAUGAUGACGGUACCCGUAGAAGAAGCCCCGGCUAACUUCGUGCCAGCAGCCGCGGUAAUACGAAGGGGGCUAGCGUUGCUCGGAAUGACUGGCGUAAAGGGCGCGUAGGCGGUUUAUGCAGUCAAAUGUGAAAUCCCCGGGCUUAACCUGGGAACUGCAUUUGAGACGCAUGGACUAGAGGUCGAGAGAGGGUUGUGGAAUUCCCAGUGUAGAGGUGGAAUUCGUAGAUAUUGGGAAGAACACCGGUGGCGAAGGCGGCAACCUGGCUCGAUACUGACGCUGAGGCGCGAAAGCGUGGGGAGCAAACAGGAUUAGAUACCCCAGUAGUC
rnacentral:rRNA from 1 species